GACGAACGCUGGCGGCGUGCUUAACACAUGCAAGUCGAACGGUAAGGCCCUUCGGGGUACACGAGUGGCGAACGGGUGAGUAACACGUGGGUGAUCUGCCCUGCACUUCGGGAUAAGCCUGGGAAACUGGGUCUAAUACCGGAUAGGACCACUGCCUGCAUGGGUGGUGGUGGAAAGCUUUUGCGGUGUGGGAUGGGCCCGCGGCCUAUCAGCUUGUUGGUGGGGUGAUGGCCUACCAAGGCGACGACGGGUAUCCGGCCGGAGAGGGUGACCGGCCACACUGGGACUGAGAUACGGCCCAGACUCCUACGGGAGGCAGCAGUGGGGAAUAUUGCACAAUGGGCGCAAGACUGAUGCAGCGACGCCGCGUGAGGGAUGACGGCCUUCGGGUUGUAAACCUCUUUCAGCACCGACGAAGCGCAAGUGACGGUAGGUGCAGAAGAAGGACCGGCCAACUACGUGCCAGCCGCCGCUGUAA
rnacentral:rRNA from 1 species